UCUUCGGACAUAGUGGCGCACGGGUGCGUAACACGUAUGCAACCUACCUUACAUUGGGGGAUAGCCUUUCGAAAGGGAGAUUAAUACCGCAUAAGACAGUAGCUGGGCAUCCAGCAGCUGUUAAAGAUUUAUCGAUGUAAGCUGGGCAUGCGUCCAAUUAGCUAGUUGGUGAGGUAACGGCUCACCAAGGCUAUGAUUGGUAGGGGAACUGAGAGGUCAAUCCCCCACACUGGCACUGAGAUACGGGCCAGACUCCUACGGGAGGCAGCAGUAGGGAAUAUUGGGCAAUGGACGCAAGUCUGACCCAGCCAUGCCGCGUGCAGGAUGAAGGCGUUAUGCGUUGUAAACUGCUUUUAUACAGGAAGAAACGACUCUUGCGAGAGGCAUUGACGGUACUGUAUGAAUAAGCACCGGCUAACUCCGUGCCAGCAGCCGCGGUAAUACGGAGGGUGCAAGCGUUGUCCGGAUUUAUUGGGUUUAAAGGGUGCGCAGGUGGUUUAUUAAGUCAGUGGUGAAAGACGGUCGCUCAACGAUUGCAGUGCCAUUGAAACUGGUAGACUUGAGUAAAGUAGAGGUGGGCGGAAUUGAUAGUGUAGCGGUGAAAUGCAUAGAUAUUAUCAAGAACUCCAAUUGCGUAGGCAGCUCACUUGGCUUUUACUGACACUCAUGCAC
rnacentral:rRNA from 1 species